rnacentral:rRNA from 1 species
GCGUAGGUGGGUUGGUAAGUCAGUGGUGAAAUCUCCAAGCUUAACUUGGAAACUGCCGUUGAUACUAUCAAUCUUGAAUCUCGUGGAGGUAAGCGGAAUAUGUCAUGUAGCGGUGAAAUGCUUAGAUAUGACAUAGAACACCGAUAGCGAAGGCAGCUUGCUACACGAGUAUUGACACUGAGGCACGAAAGCGUGGGGAUCAAACAGGAUUAGAUACCCUGGUAGUCCACGCCCUAAACGAUGGAUACUCGACAUACGCGAUACACAGUGUGUGUCUGAGCGAAAGCAUUAAGUAUCCCACCUGGGAAGUACGACCGCAAGGUUGAAACUCAAAGGAAUUGG